GAAAAGACCCUGAUGCUAGGCAAGAUUGAAGGCAGGAGGAGAAGGGAACAACAGAGGAUGAUAUGGCUGGAUGUCAUCACCAACUCAAUGGACAUGAGUCUGAGCAGGCUCCCGCAGUUGGUGAUGGACAGGGAAGUCUGGCGUGCUGUAAUCCAUGGUGUCUCAAAGAUUCAGACAGGACUGAGUGACUGAACUGAAGUUCCUUGGUGGCUCAGGUGGUAAACAAUCCGCUUGCAAUGCAGAAGACCCAGGUUAGAUCCCUGGAUCAGGAAGAUCCCCUGGACAAGGGAAUAGCAACCCACUCCAGGGUUCUCUCCUGGAAAAUCCCAUGGACAGAGGAGCCUGGUAGGCUACAGUUACUGGGUCGCACAGAGUUGGACACGACUGAACCCACCAACAUACCUUCAUGUCUAAAAGUCUUUUCAAAGGCAGAGAGAUUAGCAGUGAAGGCAGAAAGUUCAGCCUACUGGGACGCGAGAGUGACAAGGGAAGGUCAACAACCUUUUUGCCUCACCUCCUUGACAUGUUUCCUGUUUGUUCAUCCGGGGACCCUCAGUCAUUCCUGGAGGGUGUUUGACUUAUACGCUUAUGGGUCACUGAACCACCCCCAGCCGUGUCUAAGCUGGUGGUGGCCUUUAGAGGGCACUGUUUACAUAGCCAGUCCCAGGAGUUUUCAUUCAUUCUGCAGCUGCUGCUAAGUUGCUUCAGUCGUGUUCAACUCUGUGCAACCUCAUAGACGGCAGCCCACCAGGCUCCCCCGUCCCUNNNNNNNNNNNNNNNNNNNNNNNNNNNNNNNNNNCCAUUUCCUUCUCUAAUGCAUGAAAGUGAAAAGUGAAAGUGAAGUAGCUCUGGGGGUUCAGCAAUUUUUAGGGAAACAUCAUAGGCAAGAAAGGUGAGAGGUCAUUUCCUAUCCUGCCUGGCCAACUCUAGGACACUGGGGCUGUCCACAGGGAUAUCACUCACACCAAAAAUGCCUGAUAUUGAAGAAAAAUUUGGAGAGGCAGCGAAAAAAACUUGGGAGGAGACAACUGGAGCCGUGACAAACCUUGACAGUAUUAAAAAGCAGAUAUCCCUUGUCGACAAAGGUCCACAAAGUCGAAAGCUGUGAUUUUUCCAGCAGUCAUGUAGGGAUGUGAGAGUUGGCCCAUGAAGAAGGCUAAGCACAGAAGAACUGGUGCUUUCAAACUGUGGUGCUUGAGUAGAUUCUUGAGAGUCCCUUGGACAGCAAGGAGAUCAAACCAGUCCACCCUNNNNNNNNNNNNNNNNNNNNNNNNNNNNNNNNGACUGAUGCUGAAGCUCCAAUACUUUGGUCACCUGAUGUGAAGAGCCAACGCAUUGAAAAAGACCCUGAUGCUGGCAAAGAUUGAAAACCAAAGGAGAGGAGGGUAACAGAGGAUGAGAUGUUUGGAUAGCAUCACUGACGUGAGUUUGAGCAAACUCCAAGAGAUAGUGAAGGUCAGAGGAGCCUGGUGUGCUGCAGUCCAUGGGGUGGCAAAAAGUCAGACACAACUUAGUGUCUGAACAACACAAUAACAACUGGAGAUCAGGCUUUGCCAUCCAAAAACAUGCCACUCUGGCGUAAGAAUGACUCUGAGCUGAAACCCUCUGAGCUCCUGAAAUUUCUUCUCUGCCUAAACACAGAGCUUUGCAUUGUCAUAAAUCUCUGCCUAGAGUCAACUCUAAUUUUCUCUUCUGGGAGAAGACAAGUUGGCUCCCGGACAGAGUUUGUCAUAAAGUGUCAUGUCUCUCAACUAUUCUCCAAAGGCCCAUUUAUCUUCCCUAAAGUUCGUCUGCUCUCCCAUCAGUGGCCUCUCUCGCCCACCUCUCCUCUAAUAUCAUGGUCUGAAAGUG
ensembl:lncRNA